rnacentral:rRNA from 1 species
UUGUAUGGUUAAGUGACUAAGCGUACACGGUGGAUGCCUUGGCAGUCAGAGGCGAUGAAGGACGUAUUAACUUGCGAUAAGCCCAGAUUAGGUAGUAAAAACCAUUUGAGUCUGGGAUUUCCGAAUGGGGAAACCCAAUACCAUAAGGUAUUACUGUUGAGUGAAUACAUAGCUCAACAGGGCGAACCGGGGGAACUGAAACAUCUAAGUACCCCGAGGAAAAGAAAUCAACCGAGAUUCCGAAAGUAGCGGCGAGCGAAAUUGGACUAGCCCUUAAGCUUUACACGCGUUAGACGAACAGCCUGGAAAGGCCGACGAUACAGGGUGAUAGUCCCGUAGUUGACGACGUGUGUUCAGUGAAAUCGAGUAGGGCGGGACACGUGAUAUCCUGUCUGAAUAUGGGGGGACCAUCCUCCAAGGCUAAAUACUACUGACUGACCGAUAGUGAACCAGUACCGUGAGGGAAAGGCGAAAAGAACCCCUGUGAGGGGAGUGAAAUAGAACCUGAAACCGUGUACGUACAAGCAGUAGGAGCAGGCUUUGUCCUGUGACUGCGUACCUUUUGUAUAAUGGGUCAGCGACUUAUAUUCAGUGGCAAGGUUAACCAUCUAGGGGAGCCGUAGGGAAACCGAGUCUUAACUGGGCGUUCAGUCUCUGGAUAUAGACCCGAAACCAGGUGAUCUAGCCAUGGGCAGGUUGAAGGUUGAGUAACAUCAACUGGAGGACCGAACCGACUAAUGUUGAAAAAUUAGCGGAUGACUUGUGGCUAGGGGUGAAAGGCCAAUCAAACCUGGAGAUAGCUGGUUCUCCCCGAAAGCUAUUUAGGUAGCGCCUCGGACGAAUACUACUGGGGGUAGAGCACUGUUAAGGCUAGGGGGUCAUCCCGACUUACCAACCCUUUGCAAACUCCGAAUACCAGUAAGUACUAUCCGGGAGACACACGGCGGGUGCUAACGUCCGUCGUGGAGAGGGAAACAACCCAGACCGCCAGCUAAGGUCCCAAAUUACUACUAAGUGGGAAACGAUGUGGGAAGGCUCAGACAGCCAGGAUGUUGGCUUAGAAGCAGCCAUCAUUUAAAGAAAGCGUAAUAGCUCACUGGUCGAGUCGGCCUGCGCGGAAGAUGUAACGGGGCUAAGUAGUAAACCGAAGCUGCGGCAAUAUACUUUUGUAUAUUGGGUAGGGGAGCGUUCUGUAAGCGGUUGAAGGUGUGUGGUAACGCAUGCUGGACGUAUCAGAAGUGCGAAUGCUGACAUGAGUAACGAUAAAGGGGGUGAAAAACCUCCUCGCCGGAAGACCAAGGGUUCCUGUCCAACGUUAAUCGGGGCAGGGUAAGUCGACCCCUAAGGCGAGGCCGAAAGGCGUAGUCGAUGGGAAACGGGUUAAUAUUCCCGUACUUCUUACAAUUGCGAUGGGGGGACGGAGAAGGCUAGGUGGGCCUGGCGACGGUUGU